GUGAAUCAUCAAAUUUUUGAACGCAAAUUGCACUCUCUGGUAUUCCGGAGAGUAUGCCUGUUUGAGGGUCAGUUUAAAUAAUAAUAGUUGUGGUUGCUGCCUUUCGUGGUGACGCAUCGGAUUUGGGUUGUCUUGCCUUCGGUUAAGUGACAUAAAAUUUUGCAUGAUCUUUUUCGAACGUUUUUAAAUGAUUUUACGUAAGUUUGAGAUAUCGAAUACUAGGUGUGGUUAUCAUCAUGAUUCGAGUCUAUAAUUUUUCAUC
rnacentral:misc_RNA from 1 species